rnacentral:tmRNA from 1 species
GGGAGCGUGUUCGGACUCGAGGGCGAACGUCGUCAUCGAGCCCGGGUCACACCGAAACGGGGGCGAUCGGAAUCGACUGGUUCUUCUCGUGUCGGGGUGGCGUGCCGAGGUUGAUCGGUUGGCCUCGUAAAAAGCCGAUCACAACGAUAACUGCCAAACCGCAGUUCUCCCUCGCGGCCUAGUAACCCUAGACCGUGCCGACUGAAGGGGCCACGUCGGAGGCGCCUGACUGUCGGUCACAAUUCCGACUGGCCUGAUCACAGCGUCCGCUACUGAUCAGGCGAGACCCGUGGUGGACUGGCGUCGAACCGGUUUUGUCCGAUGAACCGGCCGGCGUGAGAUCAAUCAAAGGACUACGCACGUAGAGGCUUCGGCUCAGCGUUCGCAGGACGGGGGUUCAAUUCCCCCCGCCUCCA